rnacentral:misc_RNA from 1 species
UGUUAUUUAUGGUGUUAAUAUUGUAAAAUUAACGCUUAAGUAGUACGCUAUUGUUCAUUUAAAAUAUGGUUACAAAAGUAUUUAAUUUUAAAAUGCUAUAUUAUCACAAAGAUAGAUAAGCACGUAGUGUUUCUCUGGUCCCUAUCCAGUAUAUUACAAUAAUUAUUGUAUUUAUGCAAGCUACAGAAAUAUUCAUUUAAAAUAUGGUUGCAAAAAUAUUUAAUUUUAAAAUGCUAUAUUAUCACAAAGAUAGAUAAGCACGUAGUGCUUCUCUGGUCUUUAUCCAGUAUAUUACAAUAAUUAUUGUAAUUG